rnacentral:rRNA from 1 species
GAUGAACGCUAGCGGCGGGCUUAAUACAUGCAAGCCAAGGGGUAGCAAUACACCGGCGUACGGGUGCGUAACGCGUAUGGAACCUGCCCUUAUCUGGGGGAUAACUUGGGGAAACUCGAGCUAAUACCGCAUAAGAUAGUAGAAUGGCAUCAUUCAGCUAUUAAAGAUUUCUCGGAUAAGGAUGGCCAUGCGUAAGAUUAGGUAGUUGGUGUGGUAACGGCUAACCAAGUCUACGAUCUUUAGGGGCUCUGGGAGGAGAAUCCCCAACACUGGAACUGAGAGACGGGCCAGACUACUACGGGAGGGAGCAGUAGGGAAUAUUGGGCAAUGGGCGGAAGUCUGACCCAGCCACGCCGCGUGCAGGAAGAAGUCCCUCUGGGUUGUAAACUGCUUUUGAUUGGGGAUAAAACGGCUCUGCGGAGCUAAUUGAAGGUACCUGGUGAAUAAGCCACGGCUAACUACGUGCCAGCCGCCGCGGUAAGAC